rnacentral:rRNA from 1 species
UGAAUGCUGGCGGCGUGCCUAACACAUGCAAGUCGAGCGGCAGCGAGGGGUGCUUGCACCCUGUCGGCGAGCGGCGAACGGCUGAGUAACGCGUAGGAAUUUGCCCCAAAGUGAGAAAUAACUGCCCGAAAGGGUAGCUAAUGCCGCAUAUGGUCUUCGGAUUAAAGGAUUUAUCCGCUUUGGGAGAAGCCUGCGUUGGAUUAGGUUGUUGGUAGGGUAAUGGCCUACCAAGCCGACGAUCCAUAGCUGGUCUGAGAGGAUGAUCAGCCAGACUGGAACUGAGACACGGUCCAGACUCCUACGGGAGGCAGCAGUGAGGAAUCUUCCACAAUGGGCGAAAGCCUGAUGGAGCAACGCCGCGUGAAGGAUGAAGGCCUUCGGGUUGUAAACUUCUUUUAUGAGUGAAGAAUAUGACGGUAACUCAUGAAUAAGCACCGGCUAACUACGUG